rnacentral:rRNA from 1 species
AUUGAACGCUGGCGGCAUGCCUUACACAUGCAAGUCGAACGGCAGCACGGGGGCAACCCUGGUGGCGAGUGUCGAACGGGUGAGUAAUAUAUCGGAACGUACCCUGGAGUGGGGGAUAACGUAGCGAAAGUUACGCUAAUACCGCAUACGAUCUAAGGAUGAAAGUGGGGGAUCGCAAGACCUCAUGCUCCUGGAGCGGCCGAUAUCUGAUUAGCUAGUUGGUGGGGUAAAGGCCUACCAAGGCAUCGAUCAGUAGCUGGUCUGAGAGGAUGAUCAGCCACACUGGGACUGAGACACGGCCCAGACUCCUACGGGAGGCAGCAGUGGGGAAUAUUGGACAAUGGGCGAAAGCCUGAUCCAGCAAUGCCGCGUGAGUGAUGAAGGCCUUAGGGUUGUAAAGCUCUUUUGU